rnacentral:lncRNA from 1 species
CUUCGCCUUGGUGACGGAGUGAAGACAACUGAGAGGAAUGGGUAUCAAAUGAGAAAAAGAGAAGAAAGAACCGUCGGCUAGGGUGUUUUUGUGGGAAGCUCAACAUUUGAUUUUGGAGUUUUCAACCGGUUCAGUUUCAACCCCUGCUGAGAUGGGUUGCUGAUGUGGAUACCUGGAGGGGCAAUUUCGGUAGAAAAAAUACAGAAGGCUCAGAGUGCAUGAAUCUGAUAUAAGUUUCCACAUUGAAAGAUAUUUUUUAUAUUCCAUAAAUCUGGGUUCCAAAAACCAUAUAUUUAACAAAUUGGUCCAUGAAAACACAACUUUCCCUAAUUUUUCAUCCCCGAAACCCUAACUUUCUCGCUGAUUUUCAUUUUCCCGAGAAAAUUGCUUGUACUGUGGUUUGAUUUGGGGGUCCACCUCAUUUUGAUUUCUGGAGUAGACCGUAGAUAGACCCCGGCGUGGUUGGCCUAGCUGUGUGUUGAAUCUUUUGGCUGGGUUCGAGCCCCCUCAUGGGCAAAAAAAUUCAGCACGGUUUUUACUUUGACCGCACAACAAAAUAUCGGCGAAAUUCCUUCUCUCCUAUAUAUCGUGUUGAGGUACGUCGAUACAUGGUAUUUCGGCAAUCUUGAGUCCAGAAAUAAAUAAAUUAAUUAAUUUGGAAAGAACACACUUGUGCUUCUUUUUCCAAAUCUCAGUGCAAUAAAAUAUUUUUAACACCCAUUAUGUG